rnacentral:lncRNA from 1 species
AAUUUUAGCUGGGAUUAUGCUGUGAUUAUGUUUGGCUUAACAGUAAUGAAAAUAAGUUUAGGCUGGGUGCGGUGGCUCAUGCCUGUAAUCCCAGCACUUUAGGAGGCUGAGGCAAGCGGAUCACCUGAGGUCAGGGGUUCGAGACAAGCCUGACCAAGAUGGAGAAACCCCGUCUCUACCAAAAAUACAAAAUUAGCCGGGUGUGGUGGCGUCUGCCUGUAAUCCCAGCUACUGGGGAAGCGGAGGACAAUCGCUUGAACCCAGAAGGCAGAGGUUGUGGUGAGCCGAGAUCUCGCCAUUGCACUCCAGCCUGGACAACAACAGCGAAACUUCAUCUCAAAACAAUAAUAAGUUUACAACCUCUGAAUAUGUACCAAAUGGAGCCAGGGGUGGGGAGUAUUAGGACAAGCCCCGCACUGCAGAGCCCCCCAGCUCUCACUCGUGGACCAAGUGCAUGGGACACAGCCAUUCGGAAAGCUCUUUCUUUUGGAGUGGGUCUGGGUGUUCUGGUUUUGGUUUGCUUGUUUUAUCAUUUUGUGACAUUGGCGCCUAUUCUUCAGUUUGCAUCCCUGCCUUGCUUGCUUGAAGCUGGAGCACAAAUGUCCCGUCACCCUGUAACAACACAAGUAUGCGUCAUGCCUGCGAGGCUUAGCUUGGGAAGUGGAAUCUCCAGGAAUCUCCUUCGGUUGUCUGUCUGCCACUUUACACUGUUGCUCCCAUUUCGGUCACUGAGGCCCUGUCCCUUAUCCUCCAGGGACAUGGUGCUGUCCUAUGAGCUCUGGCUCCUUUGUGACUUUUACAUUGCUCCUCCAGAUAGCAGUGGCAGUGGCAUUUGCAAAAAGGCUAUUUGAGAACAAAUAAGAAAAAAUCUUCAAAGCGAAGAUGAUAGUAAAACAGCCCUCAUUUUUCAAAGUCCAUUCUUUUUUCUGGUCCGUGCACUGCCAGCUCACUUCUCUGGCUAAAACCCGGGGGCGGCGGGGGUGUGUGUGGGGGUUAGUUUUGCAAAAAGUACUGAUGGCACCGCUGUGCUCCAAGUUAACCAGAACACAAGAAUCGAAAAAGCCUGUGAGAUACUGGUGCUCGUGAUCGUAAGCUCCAGGUCGGGGGGUUUUCAGAUGAACACAAAAAGGGGGCUGCUCCCGUCCCAAGAUGAGUGAUAAAUGAGUCACUUCUCAUACUCGCACUCACACUCGCUCCAUUUCCUCUGGGAUGACUGUCUUCCGUCCUACCGCUGUGGCUGCUGUUAUUUGCCUGAUAAACUUCUUUCCCUCUCCCUCCCUCUGACACAGAAACACACACACACACACACACAGACACACACACACACACACAGCCCGCUGGAUCUAUAAGCAGUUUGUAACAGGAUGCACCAGUUCUAAUCACGUUUCAAGUCAAAUGAACCAGUCGCAGCUUCCUAAUAAGUGAAUGGCUGACAUAAGGAGUUAAUUCAGAAGCAGCUCAAUACUAUGGACAAUACUAGUGGACAAUAUUAGCAUACUGCUCGUACAACAAAGAUACCGUAGUCUCUGGUGCUGCCUCUUCAGGACGAAUUUGCUGAAAGUGAGUUGUAAUUAGAGAUGUUAAAAAAAACAUUGGCUGCGCGCGAUGGCUUACUCCUGUAAUCCCAGCACUUUUGGAGGCGAGGCAGGUGGAUGACCUGAGGUUAGGAGUUCGAGACCAGCCUGGCUAACAUGGCGAAACCCCAUCUCUACUAAAAAUACAAAAAAUUAGCCAGGCAUCGUGGUGGGCACCUGUAAUCUCAGCUACUUGGGAGGCUGAGGCCGAAGAAUUUCUUGAACCUGGGAGGUGGAGGUUGCAGUGACCCGAGAUCAUGCCAUUGCACUCCAGCCUGGGCAACAAGAGUGAAAUUGUGUCUCAAAUAAUAAUAAUAAUAAUAAUAAACUGAGAUUUAUCAUUCCUCCUCUCUCCUUUUCCUUGAGAACUUAAUAAAAAUGGAAAAUAUCCAUUA